rnacentral:lncRNA from 1 species
CAGCACCCAUCAGUGGGUGUUCUUACCUGGUAUCCUUUAGUGGAUACAAAAGUUAGCAUCCCUCAGUAGAUGCUACCCAAAAAUAAUGUUCAAAAAUACCCAUAUUUACAAAUCCAACUAAAAGAAAAAUAAUAAAAAACAAUCACUGGGGUGCCUCCCAGUUAGCGCUCUUUUAACGUCAUUAGCUUGACCCGGUAGAGUUCAAACACCCACCAGUAGGCAUUGAUACUCCUUUUGCUUGCUAUUUUCUUCUUUUUCUUCUUCCUGCUAAAUCUCUUCAAAAAGUUUAUCAAACCAAGCACCAGUUUCCAUGUUUCAAUCAUAGGAAUUUUGAUCUCCAAUUUCUUGAAGAUCUCCAUGCAGUACUUGAACUUCUUUUCCUUCCUAUGAUUUUUCUUUUUAUGAGGAAGGGGCU